GACGAACCCUUGCGGCGUGCUUAACACAUGCAAGUCGAACGGAAAGGCCCUGCUUUUGUGGGGUGCUCGAGUGGCGAACGGGUGAGUAACACGCGAGUAACCUGCCCUUGACUUUGGGAUAACUUCAGGAAACUGGGGCUAAUACCGGAUAGGAGCUCCUGCUGCAUGGUGGGGGUUGGAAAGUUUCGGCGGUUGGGGAUGGACUCGCGGCUUAUCAGCUUGUUGGUGGGGUAGUGGCUUACCAAGGCUUUGACGGGUAGCCGGCCUGAGAGGGUGACCGGCCACAUUGGGACUGAGAUACGGCCCAGACUCCUACGGGAGGCAGCAGUGGGGAAUAUUGCACAAUGGGCGGAAGCCUGAUGCAGCAACGCCGCGUGCGGGAUGACGGCCUUCGGGUUGUAAACCGCUUUCGCCUGUGACGAAGCGUGAGUGACGGUAAUGGGUAAAGAAGCACCGGCUAACUACGUGCCAGCAGCCGCGGUGAUACGUAGGGUGCGAGCGUUGUCCGGAUUUAUUGGGCGUAAAGGGCUCGUAGGUGGUUGAUCGCGUCGGAAGUGUAAUCUUGGGGCUUAACCCUGAGCGUGCUUUCGAUACGGGUUGACUUGAGGAAGGUAGGGGAGAAUGGAAUUCCUGGUGGAGCGGUGGAAUGCGCAGAUAUCAGGAGGAACACCAGUGGCGAAGGCGGUUCUCUGGGCCUUUCCUGACGCUGAGGAGCGAAAGCGUGGGGAGCGAACAGGCUUAGAUACCCUGGUAGUCCACGCCGUAAACGGUGGGUACUAGGUGUGGGGUCCAUUCCACGGGUUCCGUGCCGUAGCUAACGCUUUAAGUACCCCGCCUGGGGAGUACGGCCGCAAGGCUAAAACUCAAAGGAAUUGACGGGGCCCCGCACAAGCGGCGGAGCAUGCGGAUUAAUUCGAUGCAACGCGUAGAACCUUACCUGGGUUUGACAUGGAUCGGGAGUGCUCAGAGAUGGGUGUGCCUCUUUUGGGGUCGGUUCACAGGUGGUGCAUGCCUGUCGUCAGCUCGUGUCGUGAGAUGUUGGGUUAAGUCCCGCAACGAGCGCAACCCUUGUUCACUGUUGCCAGCACGUUAUGGUGGGGACUCAGUGGAGACCGCCGGGGUCAACUCGGAGGAAGGUGGGGAUGACGUCAAGUCAUCAUGCCCCUUAUGUCCAGGGCUUCACGCAUGCUACAAUGGCUGGUACAGAGAGUGGCGAGCCUGUGAGGGUGAGCGAAUCUCGGAAAGCCGGUCUCAGUUCGGAUUGGGGUCUGCAACUCGACCUCAUGAAGUCGGAGUCGCUAGUAAUCGCAGAUCAGCAACGCUGCGGUGAAUACGUUCCCGGG
rnacentral:rRNA from 1 species